rnacentral:rRNA from 1 species
GACGUAGGGCGCGAGCGUUGUCCGGAAUUACUGGGCGUAAAGCGCACGUAGGCGGCUUUGUAAGUUAGAGGUGAAAGCCCGGAGCUCAACUCCGGAAUUGCCUUUAAGACUGCAUCGCUUGAAUCAUGGAGAGGUGAGUGGAAUUCCGAGUGUAGAGGUGAAAUUCGUAGAUAUUCGGAAGAACACCAGUGGCGAAGGCGACUCACUGGACAUGUAUUGACGCUGAGGUGCGAAAGCGUGGGGAGCAAACAGG